rnacentral:misc_RNA from 1 species
UGAUGAUCUGAUAAUACGCGCAGUGUU